UACGUAGGCAGCGAGCGUUGUUCGGAAUUACUGGGCGUAAAGAGUGUGUAGGCGGUGCUCUAAGUUCGGUGUGAAAUCUCCUGGCUCAACUGGGAGGGUGCGCCGGAAACUGGAGUGCUUGAGCGUGGGAGAGGAAAGCGGAAUUCCUGGUGUAGCGGUGAAAUGCGUAGAUAUCAGGAGGAACACCGAUGGCGAAGGCAGUUCUCUGGGCCGUAACUGACGCUGAGGAGCGAAAGCGUGGGGAGCGAACAGG
rnacentral:rRNA from 1 species